rnacentral:rRNA from 1 species
CUGCCCCUGUCAGGGGGACAACCCGCCGAAAGGCGGGCUAAACCCGCGUACAUGCCACCGGGGCAUCCCGGAGGCAGGAAAGGCUUCGGCCGGACAGGGAUGGGCAUGCGGCGCAUUAGGCAGUAGGCGGGGUAACGGCCCACCUAACCGACGAUGCGUAGGGGUUCUGAGAGGAAGGUCCCCCACACUGGUACUGGGACACGGACCAGACUCCUACGGGAGGCAGCAGUGAGGAAUAUUGGUCAAUGGUCGGGAGACUGAACCAGCCAAGCCGCGUGAGGGAUGAAGGUACAGAGUAUCGUAAACCUCUUUUGUCAGGGAACAAAGGCGGGGACGUGUCCCCGGAUGAGUGUACCUGAAGAAAAAGCAUCGGCUAACUCCGUGCCAGCAGCCGCGGUAAUACGGAGGAUGCGAGCGUUAUCCGGAUUUAUUGGGUUUAAAGGGUGCGCAGGCGGUCCGUUAAGUCAGCGGUCAAAGCCCGGGGCUCAACCCCGGCCCGCCGUUGAAACUGGCAGUCUCGAGUUGGAGAGAAGUAUGCGGAAUGCGCGGUGUAGCGGUGAAAUGCAUAGAUAUCGCGCAGAACUCCGAUUGCGAAGGCAGCAUGCCGGCUCCACACUGACGCUGAGGCACGAAAGCGUGGGUAUCGAACAGGAUUAGAUACCCUGGUAGUCCACGCAGUAAAC